UACGUAGGGUGCGAGCGUUGUCCGGAAUUAUUGGGCGUAAAGGGCUCGUAGGCGGUUUGUCGCGUCGGGAGUGAAAACCAGGUGCUUAACACCUGGCUUGCUUUCGAUACGGGCAGACUAGAGGUAUGCAGGGGAGAACGGAAUUCCUGGUGUAGCGGUGAAAUGCGCAGAUAUCAGGAGGAACACCGGUGGCGAAGGCGGUUCUCUGGGCAUGACCUGACGCUGAGGCACGAAAGCGUGGGGAGCAAACAGG
rnacentral:rRNA from 1 species